CUUACACAUGCAAGUCGAACGGCAGCACGGACUUCGGUCUGGUGGCGAGUGGCGAACGGGUGAGUAAUGUAUCGGAACGUACCUUUCAGUGGGGGAUAACGUAGCGAAAGUUACGCUAAUACCGCAUAUUCUGUGAGCAGGAAAGCAGGGGAUCGCAAGACCUUGCGCUGAUUGAGCGGCCGAUAUCAGAUUAGCUAGUUGGUGGGGUAAAGGCCUACCAAGGCUACGAUCUGUAGCGGGUCUGAGAGGAUGAUCCGCCACACUGGAACUGAGACACGGUCCAGACUCCUACGGGAGGCAGCAGUGGGGAAUUUUGGACAAUGGGGGCAACCCUGAUCCAGCCAUGCCGCGUGAGUGAAGAAGGCCUUCGGGUUGUAAAGCUCUUUCGGCCGGGAAGAAAUCGCAUAGGCUAAUACCCUGUGUGGAUGACGGUACCGGAAUAAGAAGCACCGGCUAACUACGUGCCAGCAGCCGCGGUAAUACGUAGGGUGCGAGCGUUAAUCGGAAUUACUGGGCGUAAAGCGUGCGCAGGCGGUUUUGUAAGACAGGCGUGAAAUCCCCGGGCUCAACCUGGGAAUGGCGCUUGUGACUGCAAAGCUGGAGUGCGGCAGAGGGGGAUGGAAUUCCGCGUGUAGCAGUGAAAUGCGUAGAUAUGCGGAGGAACACCGAUGGCGAAGGCAAUCCCCUGGGCCUGCACUGACGCUCAUGCACGAAAGCGUGGGGAGCAAACAGGAUUAGAUACCCUGGUAGUCCAAUC
rnacentral:rRNA from 1 species